rnacentral:rRNA from 1 species
GUGGGGUAAUUUUUCCGCAAUGGGCGAAAGCCUGACGGAGCAAUGCCGCGUGGAGGUGGAAGGCCUACGGGUCGUCAACUUCUUUUCUCGGAGAAGAAACAAUGACGGUAUCUGAGGAAUAAGCAUCGGCUAACUCUGUGCUAG